rnacentral:lncRNA from 1 species
CCUUCAGAUUGGAAUUUAUAUUAAUACCAUCUACUCCUUGGUUCUCAGUCCUUCUGACAUGAACUGGAACAACACCAUCAGCUCUCCCGGAUCUCCAGCUUGCAGACAGCAGAUCAUGGGACUUUUCAGCUUCUGUAAUUGGGAGGUGGUUGAGAACCAUUGACGUAGACUGACUUAGCAGAUCUUCAAAUGUGAAUAGGGAAUCCUGCCAUUCCACUGAUGAGAACAGCAUGCUUAGGAUAUUGCUUCUGAGAAGAAAGACCAUGUGCUUAGAGACUUGUAGAUUAAACCCAGGUCUCUGAUUCCUCACUAGUAUGUUUUCGUAAUAAUCCAUGGUUCUGACUGUUUAAAAGUAGCUUUUAUAUUUAUUGGGUAGAAAUAUCUUCCUGUAACAUAUGUCAUCUGCAGCUUCCAUAGAGGCAUCCUGUUGUAUGUAGUGGCCACAUAACAGACUGCAAAGAACUGGAACGCAGAGUAAUUUUAAUCCAAAAUGUUCAAAGGAUGAACAAAACUGCAAUAAAGCAGAGUAAGUAAACACAAAGAGUGGCCAAGAUGGCCAACUAAAAGCAGAUAGGAUGCGUGGCUCUCACAGAGAGGAAAGGAAGGAAGGGGCAAGUAAAUACAGCACUGCCAACUGACACAUCCAGACAGUCAACACUGGGACUAAUCAAGGAAACAACUCGACCCACAGAGAAUGGAGAAGAGCAAGGCAGGACGACGGCCCAUCUGGGAGCAGAAUGUGGAGCCAAGGGAACCUCCCUUGCCAAAGUCCAGCACCUUUUGAAGGUCUGCAUAGAAAACAUUUGCCAUCUAUUGCCUCUAAAGAUGACCACCUAUGAGACUUCAUCUACAUGAGAUGAAUGAAAUGAUAGGAUAGAAGCCUGGCGGAUAUCUGGACAGAACUAUGCAAGAGCCUUCCUGAGAAUGGAAGCCACAGGAGGGAAAACGGAACUUGGGAAAGGAAAGAGUAAAGUGGAAUUUCAAUGACAUCAUUUAAAUGCCUGGAUCCAAAAGUGUCUGGACAUUCAAUAUCAAAAUAUUUGCUUCUCACAUCAUAUUUCAGUGAUGUGA